GUGGGGAAUAUUGCGCAAUGGGGGAAACCCUGACGCAGCGACGCCGUGUGAGGGAAGAAGGCUUUCGGGUCGUAAACCUCUGUCAGGAAGGAAGAACCUCUCAAGGCUGAACAAGCCUUGGGACUGACGGUACUUCCAGAGGAAGCACCGGCUAACUCCGUGCCAGCAGCCGCGGUAAUACGGAGGGUGCAAGCGUUAAUCGGAAUCACUGGGCGUAAAGCGCGCGUAGGCCGUCUUUUAAGUCGGACGUGAAAGCCCUCGGCUCAACCGGGGAACUACGUUCGAUACUGGGAGACUUGAGUCCUGGAGAGGGUGGCGGAAUUCCGGGUGUAGGAGUGAAAUCCGUAGAUAUCCGGAGGAACACCGGUGGCGAAGGCGGCCACCUGGACAGGUACUGACGCUGAGGCGCGAAAGCGUGGGGAGCAAACAGGAUUAGAUACCCUAGUAGUCC
rnacentral:rRNA from 1 species